UGCGUAGGCCGUCCGGGAAGUUGGGUGUGAAAUACCUCGGCUCAACCGAGGAACUGCGCUCAAAACUGCCGGGCUCGAGGGAGACAUAGGUGCGCGGAACCUAGGGUGGAGCGGUGAAAUGCGUUGAGAUCCUAGGGAACACCAGUAGCGAAAGCGGCGCACUGGGUCUUUUCUGACGCUGAUGCACGAAAGCUAGGGGAGCGAAGA
rnacentral:rRNA from 1 species